UAAGAUCUUUUGUAAAAGGAGGACAUGGUUACUUAACCCAAAGUAACUUGAUUUUCACUUGCUGCAUUUGAAGAAAGGUGUUACAGUCUACAAACGAUUAUGCCAAAGGCUUGAUCUGAGGUACAUUAACAUGGGAGAGAAAUCUUGUUAUGUUAGACUUCUAUCUUAUAUAUUUGACCUUUCGUGUGUUCCACCAUGGCUCCUGAAAGAAAAUAGAAGGAGGUGUUUUUCUACUACCCAGUUAGAAUGCAACAUUUGAGAAGAACUGCUUGGAGAACUUGGACGUCCAUCCACUUUCCUU